ACACUCCUGCGGGAGGCAGCAGUGGGGAAUAUUGCACAAUGGGCGCAAGCCUGAUGCAGCCAUGCCGCGUGUAUGAAGAAGGCCUUCGGGUUGUAAAGUACUUUCAGCGGGGAGGAAGGCGAUAAGGUUAAUAACCUUGUCGAUUGACGUUACCCGCAGAAGAAGCACCGGCUAACUCCGUGCCAGCAGCCGCGGUAAUACGGAGGGUGCAAGCGUUAAUCGGAAUUACUGGGCGUAAAGCGCACGCAGGCGGUCUGUCAAGUCGGAUGUGAAAUCCCCAGGCUCAACCUGGGAACUGCAUUCGAAACUGGCAGGCUAGAGUCUUGGAGAGGGGGGUAGAAUUCCAGGUGUAGCGGUGAAAUGCGUAGAGAUCUGGAGGAAUACCGGUGGCGAAGGCGGCCCCCUGGACAAAGACUGACGCUCAGGUGCGAAAGCGUGGGGAGCAAACAGGAUUAGAAACCCGUGUAGUCCC
rnacentral:rRNA from 1 species